rnacentral:rRNA from 1 species
GACGAACGCUGGCGGCGUGCUUAACACAUGCAAGUCGAACGGACAGGCCCUGCUCUUGUGGGGUGCUCGAUUGGCGAACGGGUGAGUAACACGUGAGUAACCUCCCCUUGUCUUUGGGAUAACUUCAGGAAACUGCGGCUAAUACCGGAUAGGAGCUCCUGCUGCGUGGUGGGCGUUGGAAAGUUUCGGCUGUUGUGGAUGUACUCGCGGCUUACCAGCUUGUUGGUGGGGUAGUGGCUUACCAGGGGUAUGACGGGUAGCCGGCCUGAGAGAGUGGACGGCCACAAUGGGACUGCGAGACGGCGCAGAAGGCUACGGGAGGCAGCAGGGGAGAAUAUUGCACAAUGGGCGGACGCCUGAUGUAGCGACGCCGGGUGCGUGAUGACGGCUUUCGGGUGGUAAACAGCUUUGGCCUGUGACGAAGAGGGAGUGACGGUAAUGGGUAAAGAAGCACCGGCUAACUACGUG